rnacentral:lncRNA from 1 species
UGAGCACUUUGCCAGCUAUGAAUGUAUGGAUGUUGGCACAUUGAUUUCUUAGUAACCUGUACAGCUCUCUGCACUGGACUCCCCCUUUUCAGAGCAGUGAAAGCAUGCUGCACAGGAAUCACAGGUACGGCUGCUGAAUUGGGGUUCAUUGAAGCACAGCGAGCUCCACACUGACAUCAAACCUUGUGAAUCAACAGCACAGGAUCAAGAUGUUAUCAUCUUGGGAUACCAGAAUUCAGGGAAGUCUGCUCACUGUCUUUAAGCAGACUAGGAUGGUAAGCGAAGGGCACUUCUUACCAUUAUAGCAAUGCAAUUUGACUGCCUCGGUUACCUUUUCUGAUUUCUGUCAUGGAUUGCAGACUGUCAGUACUACAUUCCCAUUUCCCUUCCUGUCACUGAUGCAAGUUUUUGGGCCACUGCCUAGAAGAGAUCUCUAUAACAGAGGUCCCUUCUGUCCUUUUUUCCCCUGACAGAAUGAAUAUUCUCUAGCUCCAUACACAUCUGUUUUCAAAGGAGAAUGAAGAGUCCUUUCAUAACCUUGAACUGAGGCAUCUUCAUCUUGCGGAGAGAAUUUCCUCAAACCCUCCAUUUUUGUAUUAUUUGCAGUAGGAAUUGAUACCACACUUCUUCCUUUGGGACAAAAAGGGCAGAAGUGGGCUCCCUUCCUUAUUCAGUGCCUUCCUUAUCCUCACAGAAGGGACACAGUGCUCAGUAGUGAGGAGUAAACACAGAGUCACAGAAUGGUUGAUGUUGGAAGGAACUUCUGGAUAUCACCUAGUCCAAAUCACCUGCUCAAGCAGGGCUGCCCACAGCAAGGAUUGUGUUCAGAUUAAUACUUUCAUGGAUGGAGACUCCCCAACCUUCUGGGGCAACCUGUGAUAGGGCUUAGUCAUUCUCACACUAAAAAUUGUUUCUUGGUGUUCAAAAAAACCCCUGUCGUGUUUCAAUUUGUGCCAAAUCACCAUUGGUCUUGUUAUUGGGCCCCACCAAAAAGAGCCUGUCUAUACCCUCUUUGCAUCUUCCCUUUGACUAUUUGUACAAAUCUGUGAGAUCCCAUUGAGCCUGCUCUUCUCAAAGCUGAACAGCCCCAGCUCUCUC